CCUACGGGCGGCUGCAGUGGGGAAUAUUGGACAAUGGGGGGAACCCUGAUCCAGCCAUGCCGCGUGUGUGAAGAAGGCCCUCGGGUUGUAAAGCACUUUCAGUGAGGAAGAACGCCUGGUGGUUAAUACCCAUCAGGAAAGACAUCACUCACAGAAGAAGCACCGGCUAACUCCGUGCCAGCAGCCGCGGUAAUACGGAGGGUGCGAGCGUUAAUCGGAAUUACUGGGCGUAAAGCGCGCGUAGGUGGCUUGAUAAGCCGGUUGUGAAAGCCCCGGGCUCAACCUGGGAACGGCAUCCGGAACUGUCAAGCUAGAGUGCAGGAGAGGAAGGUAGAAUUCCCGGUGUAGCGGUGAAAUGCGUAGAGAUCGGGAGGAAUACCAGUGGCGAAGGCGGCCUUCUGGACUGACACUUACACUGAGGUGCGAAAGCGUGGGUAGCAAACAGGAUUAGAUACCCUAGUAGUC
rnacentral:rRNA from 1 species